rnacentral:rRNA from 1 species
UACGAAAGGGAGCUAGCGUUGUUCGGAAUCACUGGGCGUAAAGCGCACGUAGGCGGACGUGUCAGUCAGGGGGUGAAAUCCCGGAGCUCAACUUCGGAACUGCCUUUGAUACAGCACGUCUUGAGUCCGGAAGAGGUGGGUGGAAUUCCUAGUGUAGAGGUGAAAAUUCGUAGAUAUUAGGAAGAACACCGGUGGCGAAGGCGGCCCACUGGUCCGGUACUGACGCUGAGGUGCGAAAGCGUGGGGGAGCAAACAGG